UCAUUGAAACUCUUUUUGAUAGAUUGGAAUAUUUUCAAUUCUACCCUUCGAGGAUCAUCGAUCAUCAAGACGACGUCCGAUGAGUCCCACAAUCCAUCAGUGAUAUCUAGCAGUAUGCAGUGGCAACCUAAUAGAAUAAAAGUAUGAACCCCUAGGUGCAGUUAUCAUAUAAUUCAAUCCUUCUAUUGUGAGUCCCAAUUUGAUGG
rnacentral:lncRNA from 1 species